rnacentral:tRNA from 1 species
GGGGCCGUAGCUCAGUUGGUAGAGCGUCGCCAUGGCAUGGCGAAGGCCAGGGGUUCGAUUCCCCUCGGCUCCA